rnacentral:rRNA from 1 species
AGCGCUGUAGCAAUACAGAGCGGCGCACGGGAGAGUAACGCGUGGGAACCUUCCUUUUGGUUCGGAAUAACACCGGGAAACUGGUGCUAAUACCGGAUAAGCCCUUCGGGGGAAAGAUUUAUCGCCGAAAGAUGGGCCCGCGUUGGAUUAGCUAGUUGGUGAGGUAACGGCUCACCAAGGCAACGAUCCAUAGCUGGUCUGAGAGGAUGAUCAGCCUCACUGGGACUGAGACACGGCCCAGACUCCUACGGGAGGCAGCAGUGGGGAAUAUUGGACAAUGGGGGCAACCCUGAUCCAGCCAUGCCGCGUGAAUGAUGAAGGCCUUCGGGUUGUAAAGUUCUUUUGCAGGGGACGAUGAUGACGGNACCCUGAGAAUAAGCUCCGGCUAACUUCGUGCCAGCAGCCGCGGUAAUACGAAGGGAGCUAGCGUUGUUCGGAAUUACUGGGCGUAAAGGGCGCGUAGGCGGCUUGGCAAGUUGGAUGUGAAAGCCCAGGGCUCAACCCUGGAAUUGCAUUCAAGACUGCCUUGCUUGAAUUCGGUAGAGGUUGGUGGAAUUCCCAGUGUAGAGGUGAAAUUCGUAGAGAUUGGGAAGAACACCCGUGGCGAAGGCGGCCAACUGGACCGACAUUGACGCUG